UUCAUGUGAGUACCAGAAAAU
ensembl:piRNA 21ur-5870 ncRNA